rnacentral:rRNA from 1 species
GACGAACGCUGGCGGCGUGCCUAACACAUGCAAGUCGAACGGAGAAUUAGCAAUAAUUCUUAGUGGCGAACGGGUGAGUAACGCGUAGACAACCUACCCUUUAGAUGGGGACAACACCGCGAAAGUGGUGCUAAUACCGAAUAUUGCUUGAGAAGCGCAUGCUUUUCAAACUAAAGAUGGCCUCUAUUUAUAAGCUAUCGCUAAAGAAUGGGUCUGCGUCUGAUUAGCUAGUUGGUGGGAUAAAAGCUCACCAAGGCAACGAUCAGUAGCCGGUCUGAGAGGAUGAACGGCCACACUGGGACUGAGACACGGCCCAGACUCCUACGGGAGGCAGCAGUGGGGAAUCUUCCGCAAUGGACGAAAGUCUGACGGAGCAACGCCGCGUGAGUGAUGAAGGUUUUCGGAUCGUAAAACUCUGUUGUUAAGGACGAAUGUAUAGAUUGUGAAUAAUGGUUUAUAAUGACGGUACUUAACGAGGAAGCCACGGCUAACUACGUGCCAGCAGCCGCCGCAG